rnacentral:rRNA from 1 species
GGGUCAGUAGGUUGGUCGUGCCACCGGUACGUACUGGUCUCACUGAUUCCUCCUUCCUGAAGAACCGUAAUGCCAUUAAGUUGGUGUUGCGGGGAAACAGGACAGUUACUUUGAAAAAAUUAGAGUGUUUAAAGCAAGCUAACGCUUGAAUACACUAGCAUGGAAUAAUGAAAUAGGACGAUCGAUCCUAUUUUGUUGGUUUCUAGGAUUGACGUA